rnacentral:tRNA from 1 species
CGCUCUCUUCGUCCAGUGGCCCAGGACAUCGGGUUCUCAGCCCGGUAACAGGGGUUCGAAUCCCCUAGAGAGUGCCAU